CGGGUGGUAAUGCCGGAUGCUCCAGUUGAUCGCAUGGUCUUCUGGGAAAGCUUUCGCGGUAUGGGAUGGGGUCGCGUCCUAUCAGCUUGACGGCGGGGUAACGGCCCACCGUGGCUUCGACGGGUAGCCGGCCUGAGAGGGCGACCGGCCACAUUGGGACUGAGAUACGGCCCAGACUCCUACGGGAGGCAGCAGUGGGGAAUAUUGCACAAUGGGCGCAAGCCUGAUGCAGCGACGCCGCGUGAGGGAUGGAGGCCUUCGGGUUGUAAACCUCUUUUAUCGGGGAGCAAGCGAGAGUGAGUUUACCCGUUGAAUAAGCACCGGCUAACUACGUGCCAGCAGCCGCGGUAAUACGUAGGGUGCAAGCGUUAUCCGGAAUUAUUGGGCGUAAAGGGCUCGUAGGCGGUUCGUCGCGUCCGGUGUGAAAGUCCAUCGCUUAACGGUGGAUCCGCGCCGGGUACGGGCGGGCUUGAGUGCGGUAGGGGAGACUGGAAUUCCCGGUGUAACGGUGGAAUGUGUAGAUAUCGGAAAAGAAACACCA
rnacentral:rRNA from 1 species